GGCCAUAUGACUAGUGCUGCCCAAUGGACUGUGAACAGAAAUGACAGCAUCACUCGCAUGGAGACUCCUCCAUCUCUGUCUUCCCUGUUGUGACAGUCUCAGAGCCUACGUUCUUUCAAUGGCUGGGCUACAAGAUGGUGACAGGCUGCCCAACCUGACACAGCAAGAAGGCGGCCAUCUGCAAACCAGAAAGAGAGCCCUCACCAGGAACCGGAUCUGCUGGCACCUUGAUCUUGGACUUCCUAUCCUUUAGAGCUGUGAGAAAUGUCGCCCCCAGGUCAAUGGGAUAUUUGUUACAGCACCAGGUACUGCCUGAGAACUCUACCUUUAGGGAGCCUGCGUGCUGGGUCACUGGGGAGACAAUGAAGGUGCUUGACACCCAGUUUGAAUAUUGUGUCACUGCAAAGCUGACUGCUGUUGAAGGAUAGCCAGUGAGAGGUCAUGGCAAGCCAUCAGAAGAAGCAGAAGUCAUGAGCAUGCUGAAGCUAUGAGGCCAAGACAAAAUGUCACAUUGCCACAAGAAGAGGGACAAACAGGCAACAGGCAGAGCCCAUGGGAAUCAGUAAUCUCCUGCUGACACUGAGGCCUUGGGACUAACUCAGAUCCAGUACUACUCUCUUGGGACCUGUUCUGACUCCAGCUCCUGUCCUUGGGGUCCACUGAGAUCCCUGUAGCCUUGUAAUAAGCCCACAUUAUCAUAUUUCCCCUGCCGGCUCCACCCUAGAGCAUUUCCAACAAUUUCCAGUGCUUUUCCCCUUCUCAUACCACUGGGCCUUUGCACGUGCUCGUGCCUCCCCAACUUGCCCUGCCUUCUCCUUCACCCAGACAACUCCUACUAAAUCUCUCAGACUCCUCAGCUGUGUCCCUUCCUAGGGGAGGACUCUCUUCCCUCCAGUGAGCCCGGUGGUCCUCCCUGGGAUCCCCUGCUCCUUGUCUUCCCUGCCGUCCUUACUGCCAUCCUUGUUCUCUACUCAGAAGGAGGCAGAGGCUGGCCUGCCCCCAAUCCCCUGUAGACUGACCAGAUGAAUUGACCUGGGCUGGGCAGGGCAGGCGUGUUUGACCAGUUGUCUGGGCACCCCAUGGCUCAGUCAAGUUGACACAUAAAGUUCACCGCCCCAGGGCCCCUUCGUUGUAUUUGUGUAUGAAUAAAACACAGCAUCCACUCCAGGUAUCUGAGGGUCCUGGAGGCAGGUUUUGUGAUCCCUUUUUACAGAUGAGGAUGCGGAGGUCCAGUUGUCACUCACCCAGAUCACACUCUCAUCUGCUGAUGGGAGGAGUAUUUGAUGGGAUGUGUGAGCCCGGCCGUCUCCCUUGGGACACAUCAGCUCAUUAAAUUUGCCAGCCCCUGCCUGAAAAAGUAUUUAAUUUGCCUUUUACAAUGCACCCAUUGCAAGUUAAUUAACUGGCAAUUGAAAGUUAUAGGUGGCAUUAGAAUUUAUUAAUAACAUUGGGAAUAAAUCUCCCUGGAAUUCAAUUAACUGAAAA
rnacentral:lncRNA from 1 species